rnacentral:lncRNA from 1 species
GAUUGGUUCAAGAUUUCCAAUAAAAGUGUCUGAAUAUCUCUCUAACCCUAAAAACAUAUAUCAUCUUCCUCGUACCCCCACCCCUUGCCUUGUAACACCACCGUACACUGCCUUUCUUUGUCGUGCCUCCGUCAUCCGCCGGAGGCGGCGAUGCUCCAAAUGAGCCCAAGAUUUCACCAUAAUCUCUCUUUCCUCUUCUCUUUCCAACCCCCAUAACUACUUCCCUCAAAUCACAACCCAGUUGCUCCAAUCUUCAAUCAAAAUUUCGGCCAAAAAUACAACUUGUCCAAAACUUCCCAAAUUCACACCCUAUAGUCCCCAUAACCCCCUCAACCUGAAUCACAAGCCUAAAACCUUUGAAUAUCACUGGUUAAGCUUGAAUUGCGGAUCUAGGGUUCGUGGGUUCGAGCCAAUUUUGGGGAUUUCUCAGGGUCGAGUGUCUUCUAUAGUAAGUACGCUUUAAUUUUAUGAUUUUAUUCUUAUUAGUGUAGUUUAAUUUUCCUUCCUCUUCUUUCCGUUCGAUCUGGUUGAUUUUUGGAGGCUUUGUCCGUAAGCAAUUUUAAUUUCAUGCCUGCUCAUUAGUUUAAACAUAGUUUUAAUCCUGUUAUAUUAGUUUAAUUUUUCUUUGAUAUCUUAGUUUGGUACAAUAUACUUGAGUCAAUAAUAGGGUUUAGGUCUUGAUUUACUACUAGUUUAAUUAAUUAGCCAGAUUAGUUUUCUUUAUAUUUAUCAUACUCUAAUGUUGUCGUAAAAAAUGGUAGGUGUUAGUCUGAAUUCAGUAGUCUUGAUUUUGGCUUUGAUGCCUGUUCUUUUUUCCUCUGUUUGUUUUCUUCUUUCUUUUCUUAUUUGAUGAUUCCGUGUUAGUUAGCUUAUUCAAAUGUUGAUAUGAUUGAUGGCCGGUGAAGAUGAAUUAGGAUUAGUUUGUAGCUUGGUUUAGCUUUAAUAUUUAGUCUAGAAUUGCUGAAUUUGUUGGUUAUAGCUGUUGAAGGGUUAAUUUGAGUCAGAAAUUUCAAGGGUUCUUCAGGGGUAGUUUGGGUAUAGAAAAUGGUAAUUUUGUUAAGAAUGGUAAUUUUAAAACAAAAGCAAUGGUAGCAUAGGCACUGUCUAGGUAGAAGAACACCUUAGGGCCUUCUAGAAUUGUAAUUUAGUGUAGAUUUUAACACAAUAGAGGUACUUGCUUGAGUAACAAAUUAUAAGUAAAGGGACUAAACUGAAAAUAAUGAAGGACUAAAAGAGAAAAAUCAAAAAUCUGAUUUUUAACCCUCUAAUGUCUUAUAAAUUGGCAUUUUCAUGCUUUGUUGAGUGGUCUUCUUUCAGCCAUUUUAAUUUCCAAAAGACCAACAUUCUCUUUGAGACUAAUUUCCCUUCAGAUCUAAAGUAGGAUUUUGAAUUUCGAAAACCAAAAAGUAAAACAGAAAAACUCUGAAAACAAAAAAAAUAGUCUACUGUUCUAUUGGCAUUUGUAGGUUAAUUUCAAAGGUAGUUGUCAAUUUGCUCAUAUUAGUUUAUGAGAUGAGUCGCUGGAAGUUUUCUGAAUUCUGAGGUUCAAUUUCGAGUAUGUUUGGUGCUUUCUGAAUCAGUGUGAUUGUGUGAUUGGUUUUCGGAAAGUGCUGGGUCAAUUUUGGGGUUUUAGUUGGUACAUUCAAGGGCUGUUGAAUAUUUGCUAGACUGCAUUUGUUGGUGACUGCUGCUGACUACUUCAUUUUCCACUUAUCUUUCAAUAUCCAGGUACAUUUCCUUGAUUUGCACCUAUGUAAAUCCAAGUUGAAGUUGAGAGAAUGAAAGUGCUAUUGGAUCUCUGCCUUCUUAAAAUAUCGUCUGAUGAUUAUUUUUCCAUAGUUUAGUUUGUUUAAAUUGUUUGACUGUUAUUAAUUGAUCAAGUUGGUGUUGAUGCGAGCCAAUGACUGGGUUGUAAUAACGGAGACUGAUAAUUAGGAUUGUUUCAAGUUGUUGUGGGGGAUCUAGGAUUUGUUAAUUGGUUAGUUUCAGGAAUGUGGAUUAGAAUUAACCUUGUUAAAUUCAGUUGUUGAAUGUCAAAAGGUGGUCUGAAAUAGGCAAUUAAUCCAGGUCCUUGAAUUGUCAUGUGAUAGCAGUUAGAAUGGUGUGAGAUUUCAAUUAUUUCAGACUUGGUUUAAUAUUUCGAUAUACGUGUUUCGUUCACCUUAAUAACAUCAAAGGAUGAGUAGAAAUAAUAUAAGUGUUAAGUCAAAAUCAGGAUGGUUUAGCAUUUUCACUGAUUUGAAUAGAUAAGAUUACGUUCUCCUCUAUUAUAAGUUUGGAAUACUAGUAAUUGGAAUUGUUCUUGCAUUUGGGCUGUGAGCUUUGGCCUAGAUUGCAACUGAAAUUAGGCUGUGGUUGUAAAGGAUUAAUGUGUGUUCAUGCGUGUGAUUGCAAUUGCAAUUGAUACUCCAUUUGAGUUUGGACGGAAUCGAUGCUUGGCUGGCGCUCAGCAACUGGAAAUAGAAAUGGGGCAAUAAUACAAGUUCGGGUUCGAUCUAGAUAGCGGGCUCAAAUUACAAGGUCCUUCCUUUUGUUUGGACCCGGACUUGAACUUUAAGCCCGAAUUCUAAAUGUUAAUUAAUUAGGACCUUUUUCUUUUCUUUUAGAGACAAACAAAAAUAGAAAAAUUAUAGUUACUCUUAGGCUUGUCCUUUUAAAAUAAAAUGAGACAAGCC